rnacentral:tRNA from 1 species
CUUGAGGUGCCAGAGUGGUUUAAUGGGAUAGAUUGCAAAUCUAUUAAUUCGUAGGUUCAAAUCCUACCCUCAAGUCA